AACGGAACGUAGACCGGUCGACCGUUAAACCGGGAGGAAGGUGGGGAUGACGUCAAGUCAGCAUGGCCUUUAUAUCCUGGGCUACACACACGCUACAAUGGGAAGGGACAAUAGGUUGCGAAGCCGCGAGGCGGAGCCAAUCCAGCAAAACUUCCCUCAGUUCAGAUUGCAGGCUGCAACUCGCCUGCAUGAAGUUGGAGUUGCUAGUGAACGCAGGUCAGCCAUACUGCGUUGAAUACGUUCCCGGGGCUU
rnacentral:rRNA from 1 species